CUCUUUGCUUUGUUUUGAAUGAUCCCUUUCUGGAUUAUUCUGCUGGUUAGCAAUUUCAUCACUCACUCCCCAUACCGAGUUGCCUACGCAUAUUGGGUUAAACCAGAGAAAAGUGUUUUCUAUGGAAGUUAAAAAAAAAACGUAAAUAAUAGCACUUUGAUCUCAUUUAACCUAUUUCUAUGAUACCUAAGUUAUCCCAUCAAAGUGGAAAACAUUUCAUUUUUCUGAUUAGAAAUUCUGGUUAACUGGUUGCCCCACAUGGGUAGUGGUGCCAGGCAGAGCUACAAGGACCCUGAGCAAUACUUUCACAUGAGCAGGAAUUGGUUGAUUUUUACUUCAGUAUUUUUCGAAUAUUGCUUUCUCACUAAUCUAAGCUAUCAACUUGGAGGAUCAGGUUAGAGUAUUGACAUUGAAAUAAGCUUCAUAUAUAUAAAAAAGAACAGUUUCCUCCUGGAUUCAAUUUAAAGGAAUAAGCAAGAAAAGAAAAAAAUAGAUAACUCUCACAAAAUUUAAUAAAUUGAUUGGAUUUGUGAGAUAUUUUUAAAUAAAAUUUAAUUCAAAAUGUUGAAACUACAGAUGACUGGAAAUAAUGUAAAAAUAGAAAUCCAAUUUUAAAAUACAUAUUUCAUGUUGGAGUAGAAGAAACGUGCAUCUCAACUUAUUCCUAAAGUUCUCAAAGUAGAAGAAUAAAAUAAAAUGUAAUCUAGAAAUAAAAGUAGAAACCUUUCAGCAGCUCUUGGGCAAUGAUUAGUAAAUGGGUCAAGUAAUUACUAUUUAAUGUAAUUGUCAUUUUCUUUGUAAUAGUUUAUUGCCUUUAACCUUGGUUUAAGAAAUGAGAUUCUGUUGGUAUGAAAGUAAUGAUAUGAGUAUUCCUCAGGCAGGUAGUUGGAUGCACAUAUCUGAAAUUCAAGAGAGUGGAUAUGGGAGUCCUCCAUUCACAGAUGAUGAGUCUGGAUGAGAACUUAGAGUGAGAAGAACCAAGUGCAAGAAUUGAGUUCCUGAGCUCAGAAUUCAGGGAAAAAAGAGAAACCAGUAAUGAAUUCAUGAGUGCCCAAUGAGACAAGAGGAAAACUAGGAGAGCUCAGUGUAGGGAAGCCAGGAGCAGGAAUAUGUCUAGGAAGAGGCAGAAAUCAACCCCAUUAAUGCUGCCAAAAAAGGCAGCUACAUAGAGAAUUGCCCAUUGGAUCUAACUAUGCCAAGGUCACUGGGGACCUUAACAAGGGCAGCUUUUGUGGAGUCAUGAGGCUGAGACAAGGUGAGACAGUAGUGAGUCUGAGAGAAGUGGAGAAUGGAGAAUAAGCUUUUUUAUUUUUUUUAUUUUUUUAAGUUUUGCUGCAAAGAAUAAUGGUGGUGGCUUGAAUCCUAACAUUUCAACUCAAACCAAGAGCAAAAUGAGGACCACUUAUCUAAAUAUUUAAAAUGUAAGUGAAACUAACAAAUUGUUUCAGAAAAGAUGCUCUAUCUUCAUACCUUGGGAAAACAUACUUUUGAUGUAAGAUGUUUCCACAGGAAGAAAGUGGCAGAAAAGUAUCUGGGAUCUCUCUGAAGAUUUUCUUACAACUGCGUGUAAAUCUACAAUUGUCUCAAAAUGUACCUCAAAAAUUAUCAUUACAAUUAUCUCAAAAGUUAAAAACUGUUACCUUUGUUAAUAACCUGGAAGUACAGGCUUGAGUUUAGACAUUAGAAUUCCUCAGAGUUCUGCUUCAGAACCCGGAGAAAGGACUAUCUGUAGAAUUUUCAGGGCCCAGUGAAAUGAAAAUAUGGGGCCCCUGGUUCAAAAAUGAUGAAGAAUUUCAAGAUGUUAACAGCCAGACAUUAAACCAAAUGUGGAGACCAUGUGAACCCAAGACCCCGUCUGACUGCACAGGAUGCAUGGUCUCCUUCUAGCAGGUGUUUGCACUUGUGUGGUUUGAACUUCUCCCUGGCACCAUCAUCUUGCCCGCCUGAAAAAGUGGCAGUGCCACGCAGAAGAGAUGGUUGUUUUGGUUGAUGCUAAGCCAGGUGCUAGGCCAACUGGAUAUCCAUGAGAAAAAAUGAUUCUGACCCCAACUUCACACUAAACACAAAAAUCAAUGACAGAUGGAGUGCAGACCUUAUUAGUGUUUGUUUCCCAUAAAAUCCACUGCUCCAUUUCCAGGUCUGGGCUUAAGACGCUGAUCGGUGGGAUUGCCAGCUGAGCAGAUCUCAGACACUCCAGCUCCUCUUUUGGUUGAAUCAGUGGGUCACUAAUAGUUAUUGACACCAACUGAGCUCAAUAUCACUGGUCAUCAUUACCAGUCCACGGAAUCCACAGAGACAGUCAUCCACAUUUCCCGUUGUGAUUGGUGAGGCAUUAGAAAGGAUAGAUUUUCACAGGGCGAGGUUGUGAAAAUGACUUGAAAAAUCUCAGUGGCUAACAGGUAAAGGCAUGUCUUCCUCGCACCACAGGUUCUGCUCAUCUUCACGAUCCAAGAACUCAGGUGACCCAGGUCUCCCUGUUUCCAUCAUCAAGAUGGGAAAGGAGCAGGUGCUGGUUCUUAAAGCUUCUAUCCAGAACACUCAUAUCUCAUUGACAAAGACAAGCCCGAGAUUCUCCUCAAGGAUGUGCCAUCCUCCAUGAAAGGGGCGCUGAAUACUGUGGAUUCUGGUGCCUCCCACCGUGGGGGCAGCUAGGGGGUAUCAGCAACACCGGAUGCUGACAAAAUCACAUUGAUUUUCU
rnacentral:lncRNA from 10 species